UAUAAAGAUGAUAUACAUUGAAUCAAACCAAUGAAUUGUAUCACCUUAAUCUUAAUCACAUUAUAUAUAUACCCACUCACCUGAAGUUUUCUUAACCUCAUUUUCUCUCAAGCUAGCUGCAUACUACACUCCAAUCCCUUUUCUUCUAAUUUGCUUACCAACAAGUCACUUUAAAUUCUCUUUGUCUAGGUGGAAUUUGACGCGUACCUUACCUUCCGAUGUGAACUAGGCUCACAUCAAUCAAGCAUAUAGUCCCUUCCAAUUUGAACCAGGGUCUCACCGCUUUUUUCGAGAGAAUAACCUUGUAUUGAGUUUCGACAAGGUGAAGAAGGAUGGGUCCCAUGAAUGCUACUGAAAUCAAGUUGGCGUGAAGAGUUGCUAAUGCUACAAGAUAGUCCCAACAGAAAAUUCAAUCGUUGAUAGCCGUUUUAUGUAUGAGAAAUUUGCAGUCAAUGAUUCACCUAAGGCCCCCCUUCUCAUUGCUACUCUGAUGAAAGUCAGUUCUUUCAGCAUAUCUAGCAACGGACUUUCAUAUGCCUAAUAAUGCUUUCCAGCUUAGCACAUGUACAAGGAUUAGAGAGAUAUUCGGGAAUGCGGGGUUAGCACAAGAAGGCUUCAGAAUAUGUUUGGGAGAGAAAUUGAUGGGCUUCCAGCUUCAAUGUCUUCUUCCUUAAAAUAUGUAGGCUAUAUGAUAUAUUUUUUUCUUGGAAACAUUACUCGCUUGAUCGUUUCAAUCGCUCACUCAUCUCACAACAACUCUCGGUGUGUCUGAACAGAACAACAUUAAACUCUUUGCGGCCAACAAAAAGAGAUUCGAUAGCUAUUCAGAAGCCUCGGAGGAUUAUGUGAAAAGAUAUGAGAGAUCUUUUAGAAGGCUUCCAGUGGCUCACAAGAUUCAAUGUUAGUCUGGAAUCCUAGGGGAUUUCAGAUUAGGAAGGUGAUCGAUGUCGUAAGGUCGGUCAAAAAUAAAGUAAAGUGUCCUAUUCACCUUUUACUAGUAAAGGGCAAGUAGGGUGUCGAAUCCACGGGGAAUCAGUGGAAAGUGUGAAAGCUCGUUGUUUUAAUUAUCAUCUAUUUCUAAAUUAAUUGCUUUUUGCUGAUUAAGAGAGUUAUUAGAAAAACAAAUGUAAUGGAUGUGGUUGUAAACAAUUAUGA